rnacentral:rRNA from 1 species
UACGGAGGAUGCAAGCGUUAUCCGGAAUUAUUGGGCGUAAAGCGUCCGCAGGUGGUUUUGAAAGUUUGCUGUCAAAGCGCGGAGCUUAACUUCGUACCGGCAGUGAAAACUCCAAGACUAGAGUUUGGUAGGGGUCACGGGAAUUCCCAGUGUAGCAGUGAAAUGCGUAGAGAUUGGGAAGAACACCAGCGGCGAAAGCGCGUGACUGGGCCUGAACUGACACUCAUGGACGAAAGCUAGGGGAGCGAAAGGG